GCAGACACAUUCCAGUCAAUCAGCAGCAGACCCUCCCUCCCAGACCCUCCCACCUCCUGGACAGCAUCCAUUUUGAAGCUGCAUUCUUAGUGAGCUGUCCAGGAGAUGGGAGGGUCUGGGAGGGAGGGUCUGCUGCUGAUUGGCUGGAAUGUGUCUG
rnacentral:miRNA from 1 species